CAAGCAAGGUGUCGACAUCACAAAGAGCGGCCACCGAGCGGCCACCGUCGCCUCAGAAUACCACGACUGGAUCUCCGUCAAUCAUCCACACGGAGCCUCUCUUCAACAAUACAAAGCUCUUCUUCUUGCCUGCCUUCCUUGGGUGUAUAAUUUGUGCGAGAAAAAAAUCUGUGUUUAAUUUAUUCUUUAUUUUGGAUAGAAGUAGCAGCGGGAGGAAUCACACAAAUUAUAAUGACGGGAAGAGAGAUCUUGCACAAGAUGAAGGUUAAGGCUGGGUUUGGUUCAUCUACAUCAGAUACUGGAAAAGGCAAGAGCAAGAUAUCAGGCAAGCAUAUCAGACAUGGAUAUCACUUGGUGAAGGGGAAAUCAAGUCAUCCAAUGGAGGACUAUCUAGUGGCAGAAUUCAAACAAGUGGGUGAUUGUGAGCUGGGUUUGUUUGCUAUUUUUGAUGGUCACUUGGGCCAUGAUGUUCCAAAUUACCUGCGCUCUCAUCUAUUCGAAAACAUCUUGAGAGAGCCUGAAUUUUGGAGUGACACAGCAGGUGCCAUUAGGAAAGCAUAUAUAAUAACUGACAGUAAAAUAUUGGAGCAAGCAGUUGAGCUGGGAAGAGGGGGUUCUACUGCAGUUACAGCUAUAUUGAUAGAUGGUGUGAAGCUUGUGGUAGCCAAUGUUGGAGAUUCACGAGCAGUGAUUUGCAGGAAUGGUGUUGCUACACAACUUUCUGUUGAUCAUGAACCAAGCAGGGAGCGUCAAUCAAUUGAGGGCAAGGGUGGUUUUGUGUCAAAUAUUCCUGGAGAUGUGCCACGUGUGGAUGGGCAGCUGGCAGUGGCAAGAGCCUUUGGAGACCGCAGCCUGAAGGUACACCUCAGUUCUGAGCCAGAUGUGGUGGAAAAGAUGAUAGAUGAUGACACAGAGGUACUAAUCCUUGCAAGCGACGGUUUAUGGAAGGUAAACACAAUUUUGUUGAUCUAAGAUAGAUUCUCGCAUCACUAGACAUUACUCGAAACUCCCAUGUUUCAAUGGUGAGCCUCCAACCUAGGUAUGGUCUGUCUCCAUACGACCGGCAUCACCAGUCGUUAAACUAAUGUGAUGUCCAACCAGGAGGCAGCGGAUGCGAUCAAAGAUAUAAAGGAUGCCCAGGCAGCAGCCAAACAUCUGACAGAGGCAGCUGUUGCCCGGAAGAGCUCAGAUGACAUCUCUUGUAUAGUUGUAAAGUUUAAUUAAACUCUUCUGGAGUUGAGUGUCUUCUUGACAUGCAUCUAUAUGUUGGCUACCAGAUAAGCUUAUAACCUGAUUGCUUGAGAAUAAUUCACGUUGAUAUUGAUCAUGUUUGCAAAAUACAAUGGAUAAAUUAUACAAAAUAAACUACCUGUUAGGAUUAUGCUAUGAUGUAAUGGCCAUAGCACACAAUACAUUGCAAAA